rnacentral:rRNA from 1 species
UGGCGACCGGCGCACGGGUGCGUAACGCGUAUGCAACCUACCUGUAACAGGGGGAUAACACUGAGAAAUCGGUACUAAUACCGCAUAACACUAUGAGAGGCAUCUCUUGUGGUUGAAAGUUUCGGCGGUUACAGAUGGGCAUGCGUUGUAUUAGCUGGUUGGUAAGGUAACGGCUUACCAAGGCGACGAUACAUAGGGGGACUGAGAGGUUAACCCCCCCACAUUGGUACUGAGACACGGACCAAACUCCUACGGGAGGCAGCAG